GACGAACGCUGGCGGCGUGCUUAACACAUGCCAGUCGAACGGAAAGGCCCUGCUUUUGUGGGGUGCUCGAGUGGCGAACGGGUGAGUAACACGUGAGUAACCUGUCCUUGACUUUGGGAUAACUUCAGGAAACUGGGGCUAAUCCCGGAUAGGAGCUCCUGCUGCAUGGUGGGGGUUGGAAAGUUUCGGCGGUUGGGGAUGGACUGGCGGCGUAUCAGCUUGUUGGUGGGGUAGUGGCUUACCAAGGCUUUGACGGGUAGCCGGCCUGAGAGGGUGACCGGCCAAAUUGGGACUGAGAUACGGCCCAGACCCCUACGGGAGGGAGGGGUGGAGAAGGUUGCACAAUGGGCGGAAGGCUGAUGCAGCAACGCAGCGUGCGGGAUGACGUCCUGCGGGUUGUGAUCCGCUGUCGCCUGUGACGAGGCGUUAGUGACGGUAAUGGGUAAAGAAGCACCGGCUAACUACGUG
rnacentral:rRNA from 1 species